GUGAACGCUGGCGGCAGGCCUAACACAUGCAAGUCGAACGGCAGCACAGUGGUAGCAAUACCAUGGGUGGCGAGUGGCGGACGGGUGAGGAAUACAUCGGAAUCUACUUUUUCGUGGGGGAUAACGUAGGGAAACUUACGCUAAUACCGCAUACGACCUCCGGGUGAAAGCAGGGGACCUUCGGGCCUUGCGCGAUUAAAUGAGCCGAUGUCGGAUUAGCUAGUUGGCGGGGUAAAGGCCCACCAAGGCGACGAUCCGUAGCUG
rnacentral:rRNA from 1 species